rnacentral:lncRNA from 1 species
AAAGACUCCUUUCCUUUCCAUCUUGUACUGGCCUUAGUCCUGGCCUUAUUCCUGGCCUUAGUCCUGGCCUUAGUCCUAGCCUUAGUUCUGGCCUUGGUCCUGGCCUUAGUCCUGGCCUUGGUCCUGGCCUUAGUCCUGGCCUUAGUCCUAGCCUUAGUUCUGGCCUUGGUCCUGGCCUUAGUCCUGGCCUUAGCCCUGGCCAUUCCCACACGAAGCGUUUGGUCCUAAAGGUCUUAGGGACGGAUUGCGGAAUGUACCGUACUGUAGGAGGAACAAGCAGGUGAGUCCAAGCACCUUAAAUACCUGACAGCAGGGUGGCGGCAGGAGUGAGAGGGCCAAGGGUCAUCAACAAGCUAGCAGACGUCUAGCCGCUAGUUGUGGCUGCAAAGGACAGCGACCUCAUGGGGAAACACACCCCAAUAGGGUCAUCUGCAGGGUGGUAGUGGCUCCAGAGGAACCUGCUGCUGACCCGGGAGGCUCUGGAGGAGGUGCAUCACAUCGUUGCUCUAGAUGGUUUCUCUCUAACGUACAGGUAACGUAUGACAGUUCAUUUUUCCAUCAUCAUCAUUAUAUAACUGCAGUAGUUUGCUGUAGUUCAGAGUGAGCAUCCCUCAAACAUCAUCUCUGUGGGUAACCACACACUGCUCUAUUCUUUCCUGCGGAUGCACGUGUGUGUGUGUGUUUGUUCGUUCGUUCGUUCACGUGCGUGCGAGGGCGUGCGCGGGCCUCCGUCCCAUUCACAGGCUCCUUUGUGUGGGUGUCUGUCAGCGGUGUUGUCUGCAGGCAGGCCCCCAUUGUGUUGAACUGCUGCUCCUUAUUGACACAGAGGCCCUUGGCACUCUGUGUUCCCAUGGCCCCCCAGCCACAGGCGGACGGAAGGCUGAAACCGGAGCCCCGGGCCUGUGGAGAGUUUGUUUGCUGUUCCUUUUCCCUCCCUUGGUGUUUCUGGUGUCAUUGUGGGUUGGGCAUCAAAAAUCAGGAAGAAAGACAGGAAACAGCGAGAUGCCAAAAUCGUAAGAAACAACCCUCCGUCUGGGGCGGCCGACCGGAGAGAGUGUGAAGCUUUCUUUGGCCUGCUGUGUCCAAAGAAAGAAAGUGAGGAAAUAAAGAGGGAGGGAGCCCCCGAGACCACGUCCAAACACAGCAAACAUGGCAGCACCACACACUGCGUGUAUACUCGGACGUGGCCCGAGCAGGUGAGAUUAUCAGAUAAUCGUUCAAAAAUAAGAAGGCAAAAAUGCCCUGUAUGUUUUUUUGUAAUACAAACGAUACCAUCUCAUAAUACUGGUCCCAGUUCAUUCUGGUCUAAACUAUCACUCUUAUUUAAAAUUAAAUUAUUUGCUUCCAGUUUAAUUGACACUAAUAUUACGCGCCUUGUCAUUUAA